rnacentral:rRNA from 1 species
CCCUUAGAUGUUCUGGGCCGCACGCGCGCUACACUGAUGCAUUCGACAAGCCUAGCCUUGACCGAGAGGUCCGGGUAAUCUUUGAAACUGCAUCGUGAUGGGGCUAGAUUAUUGCAAUUAUUAAUCUUCAACGAGGAAUGCCUAGUAAGCGUGAUUCAUCAAAUCGCGUUGAUUACGUCCCUGCCCUUUGUACACACCGCCCGUCGCUCCUACCGAUUGAAUGUGUUGGUGAGGAGCUCGGAUUGGCAGCAGUUGGUGGUUCGCCACCGGCUAUUGCUGAGAAGUCCUCCAAACCGCCCCAUUUAGAGGAAGGAGAAGUCGUAACA